UACGGGGGGGGUAAGCGUUGUUCGGAAUUACUGGGCGUAAAGGGCUCGUAGGCGGCCAACUAAGUCAUACGUGAAAGCCCACGGCUUAACCGUGGAAGUGCAUGGGAAACUGCAGAGCUUGAGUACUUAAGAGGAUCGCGGAAUUCCCGGUGUAGAGGUGAAAUUCGUAGAUAUCGGGAGGAACACCAGUGGCGAAGGCGGCGAUCUGGGAAGAUACUGACGCUGAGGUGCGAAAGCGUGGGGAGCAAACAGG
rnacentral:rRNA from 1 species